GCUGGGUGUGGUGGUGGACACCUGUAAUCCCAGCUACACGGGAGGCUGAGGUGGGAGAAUCGCUUGAACCUGGGAGGUGGAGGUUGCAGUGAGCUGAGAUUGUGCCACUGCACUCCAGCCUGGGUGACAAAGUGAGACUCCGUCUCAAAAAAAAAAAAAAGAUGUUCAUUUGUGCUUUAUUAUUUAUAAUAACAAAUAUAAUUUUUUUUUUUUUAAGAUGAAGUCUCCCUCUGUCCCCCAGGCUAGAGUGCAGUGGUGCGACGGCAGCUCACUGCAACCUCUGCCUCCCAGGUUCAAGCAAUUCUCCUGCCUCA
rnacentral:sRNA from 10 species